rnacentral:rRNA from 1 species
GUCCACGCCGUAAACGAUGUGUGCUGGAUGUUGGGCAACCUAGUUGCUCAGUGUCGUAGCUAACGCGAUAAGCACACCGCCUGGGGAGUACGGCCGCAAGGUUGAAACUCAAAGGAAUUGACGGGGGCCCGCACAAGCGGUGGAGCAUGUGGUUUAAUUCGACGCAACGCGCAGAACCUUACUAGGACUUGACAUGGGCAAGACGCACGCGGAGACGCGUGUUCCCGCAAGGGCUUGCCGCACAGGUGCUGCAUGGCUGUCGU